rnacentral:ribozyme from 1 species
UCCGUUUAUCGCUCUGUUAGUGGGGUAGGUUCCGAGACUCCUUUCGGUGUUACACAGGCUCUCCUACCCAACUCCUAUUCCGUCACGUCCUCGUCGGACCGAGCGGUAACUUUCCCCACCACAUAUCCAAGCUUUGGUACACGGACCUGUCCCAACCCCUUUGGCGGAUGGUGGAGAAAGGCUGAACAGGAGGGA